rnacentral:lncRNA from 1 species
UAGAUCAAGAUUUUCCAAAACCGAGCCUAGAUCGGGGCAAAGCCAAGCAAUCCGAUUAAGCCAACUAGUCAAGUACUUUUUGUAAACCGAGGUAAGUUGUAUGUAAAUAAUACAACUAUAUUAUUAAUGCAUGUAUUCGAUUGUUAUUGAUUUGAUAUAGCAUAAAUUUCUAGAAUUGGAACUAAGUAUAUGUAUUUAUGAUUG